AGGAUAAACGCUGGCGGCGUGCCUAACACAUGCAAGUCGAACGUCCUACGCAAGUAGGGAGUGGCGGACGGGUGAGUAACACGUGGGCAAUCUACCUUUCGGUGAGGAAUACCGGCGAGAAAUCGCCGACAAUACCGCAUACGCUUCGCAAGAAGCAAAGUCGCAAGACGCCAGAGGAGGAGCCUGCGCCCGAUUAGCUGGUUGGUGAGGUAAGAGCUCACCAAGGCGACGAUCGGUAGCUGGUCUGAGAGGAUGAUCAGCCACACUGGGAUUGAGAACGGCCCAGACUCCUACGGGGGGCAGCAGUGAGGAAUUUUCGUCAAUGGGGGCAACCCUGAACGAGCAACGCCGCGUGCAGGAAGACGCUUUUCGGAGUGUAAACUGCUUUUCUAGGGACGAGUAAGGACGGUACCUAAGGAAUAAGCCCCGGCUAACUACGUGCCAGCAGCCGC
rnacentral:rRNA from 1 species